rnacentral:rRNA from 1 species
UACGUAGGGACCGAGCGUUGUCCGGAUUCAUUGGGCGUAAAGAGCUCGUAGGCGGCCACUCAAGUCGAAUGUGAAACCUCGAGGCUUAACCUCGAGCCUGCAUUCGAUACUGGGCGGCUAGAGUCUGGUAGGGGGAUCUGGAAUUCCUGGUGUAGCGGUGAAAUGCGCAGAUAUCAGGAGGAACACCGAUGGCGAAGGCAGGUCUCUGGGCCACUACUGACGCUGAGAAGCGAAAGCAUGGGGAGCGAACAGG